CGCCUUUGUGUUGCUCUUUCACUUUGGAAACUAGUGAACCUGGUGUCAAGCAAGGCGUAAAGUAAGGGUUUUCCGGCCUGUGAACUGCGGUCUCCAUCGUGGGAACUGCACGAGGAACAGGC